rnacentral:rRNA from 1 species
CAGUAGCCGCGGUAAUACGGAGGGGGCUAGCGUUGUUCGGAAUUACUGGGCGUAAAGCGCACGUAGGCGGCUUGGUAAGUUAGAGGUGAAAGCCCGGAGCUCAACUCCGGAAUUGCCUUUAAGACUGCCGAGCUAGUAGGUGAGAGAGGUAAGUGGAAUUCCGAGUGUAGAGGUGAAAUUCGUAGAUAUUCGGAAGAACACCAGUGGCGAAGGCGGCUUACUGGCUCAUUCUAGACGCUGAGGUGCGAAAGCGUGGGGAGCAAACAGGAUUAGAUACCCCCGUAGUCCCUGUCUCUUAUAC